rnacentral:rRNA from 1 species
CGGUAAUUCCAGCUCCAAUAGCGUAUAUUAAAGUUGUUGCGGUUAAAAAGCUCGUAGUUGGAGUUCUGCCAGGUGACGCUCGUCCGCCCAAGUGGUGUGUACAGGGCGUGCAUCUGGCCCUUUCAAGGGGAACGUGUCUGCACUUCAUUGUGUGGUGCGAGAUCCUUGACUUUUACUUUGAGGAAAUAAGAGUGUUCCAAGCAGGCUCUCGUCGUGCAUAGCUCAGCAUGGAAUAAUAGCAUUGGACUUCGUUUCUAAGCUGUUGGUUGCAAGAAGCGAGGUAAUGAUGAAGAGGGAUAAUUGGGGGCACUCGUACUAGAACGUCAGAGGUGGAAUUCUUAGAUUGUUGUAUGACGUACUACUGCGAAAGCAUUCACCAAGGAUGUUUUCAUUGAUCAAGAACGAAAGUUUGGGGAUCGAAGAUGAUUAGAUACCAUCGUAGUCCAAACCAUAAACUAUGCCAACUAGGGAUUGGAGGUCGUUCUUUUUAUGACUCCUUCAGCACCUUAUGAGAAAUCAAAGUCUUUGGGUUCCGGGGGGAGUAUGGUCGCAAGGUCGAAACUUAAAGGAAUUGACGGAGGGACACCACCAGGGGUGGAACUUGCGGCUUAAUUUGACUCAACACGGGGAAACUUACCAGGUCCAGACAUAGUGAGGAUUGACAGAUUGAGAGCUCUUUCUUGAUUCUGUGGGUGGUGGUGCAUGGCCGUUCUUAGUUGGUGGGAUGACCUGUCUUCUUAAUUGCGAUAACGAACGAGACCUUAACCUGCUAAAUACGAAUCAGUAUCUUCGGAUAUCGAUCUUUCUUCUUAGAGGGACUAUACUUGUGUUUAACGUGUGGAAGUUUGAGGCAAUAACAGGUCUGUGAUGCCCUUAGAUGUUCUGGGCUGCACGCGCGCUACACUGAUGCGUUCAGCGAGUUUAUAACCUUGCCCGAGAGGGUUGGGUAAUCUUUUGAAAACGCAUCGUGAUGGGGAUAGAUUAUUGUAAUUAUUAAUCUUCAACGAGGAAUUCCUAGUAAGCGCGAGUCAUCAGCUCGUGCUGAUUACGUCCCUGCCCUUUGUACACACCGCCCGUCGCUCCUACCGAUUGAGUGUUCCGGUGAGUAAUUCGGACCGGCGCGAUUCUCGGUUCGCCGAUUUUUGUACUGGAAAGUCUAGUAAACCUUAUCACUUAGAGGAAGCAGAAGUCGUAACAAGG